rnacentral:rRNA from 1 species
UACCCGCAGCACAAGUGGUGGUCAUUAUUAUUGGGCCUAAAGCGUCCGUAGCUGGCUUGUUAGAUGCCUGGGUAAAUCGAUGCGCUCAACGUAUCGAAUUCCGGGGUAGACCGGCAAGCUCGAGACCGGGAGAGGUGUAGGCUACUCGAGGGGUAGGGGUAAAAUCCUGUAAUCCUUCGGGGAGGACCGUGGCGAAGGCGCUACACUAGAACGGCUCUGACAGUGAGGGACGAAGCCCUGGGGCGC